rnacentral:rRNA from 1 species
AUUGAACGCUGGCGGCAGGCCUAAUACAUGCAAGUCGAGCGAGCGGCGCACGGGUGUGUAACGUAUGGGGAUCUGCUCGAUAGAGGGGGAUAACUACUGGAAACGGUGGUUAAUACCGCAUACUAUCGCAUGAACCCAUACGGGAUUAGCUAGUAGGUGGGGUAAAGGCUCACCUAGGCCACGAUCUCUAGCUGGUCUGCGAGGGUGAUCGGCCACACUGGGACGGAGACACGGCCCAGACUCCUACGGGAGGCAGCAGGGGGGAAUUUUGCACAAGGGGCGAAAGCCUGAUGCAGCCAUGCCGCGUGUAUGAUGAAGGCCUUAGGGUUGUAAAGUCCUUUCAGCGGGGAGGCGUUACCCGCAGAGAAAGCACCGGCUAACUCCGUGCCAGCAGCCGCGGUAAUUC